CAGCAACAGAAACAGAGAUUAGGGGGAUGCAGCUGGAAGCCCAGGGAUGACGAGGAUUGCCAGCAACCCACAGAGGCGAGGAUGAGGCAAGGAAGAAUUUGCCCUACAGGUUUCAGAGGGGACAGGCCCUAUUCACACCUUGAUCUUGAACUUCUGGCCUCCAGAACUGUGAGACACCCAUAGGUGUCCUAUGGCCCCUGCUCUGUGCUCCAGCCUAACAUCAGGAAACCCAUGAAUGGGAGAAAAUCUCAUGUCGCCUGUUUACAGGUGAGUGAACAUUUAAGUCAAUGGGUUGCCCUCCCCCAGGGAGCU
rnacentral:lncRNA from 10 species